AUGAACGCUGGCGGCGUGCCUAAUACAUGCAAGUCGAGCGAACAGACGAGGAGCUUGCUCCUCUGACGUUAGCGGCGGACGGGUGAGUAACACGUGGAUAACCUACCUAUAAGACUGGGAUAACUUCGGGAAACCGGAGCUAAUACCGGAUAAUAUAUUGAACCGCAUGGUUCAAUAGUGAAAGACGGUUUUGCUGUCACUUAUAGAUGGAUCCGCGCCGCAUUAGCUAGUUGGUAAGGUAACGGCUUACCAAGGCAACGAUGCGUAGCCGACCUGAGAGGGUGAUCGGCCACACUGGAACUGAGACACGGUCCAGACUCCUACGGGAGGCAGCAGUAGGGAAUCUUCCGCAAUGGGCGAAAGCCUGACGGAGCAACGCCGCGUGAGUGAUGAAGGUCUUCGGAUCGUAAAACUCUGUUAUUAGGGAAGUACAAAUGUGUAAGUAACUAUGCACGUCUUGACGGUACCUAAUCAGAAAGCCACGGCUAACUACGUG
rnacentral:rRNA from 1 species